UUUCUGUAGGUGAACCUGCGGAAGGAUCAUUAUUGAAAAAGACAAGACGCCCCGUUUUUUCGUAAAAUGGGUUCAAUACCCACAACCGUGUAUACCUUACCUUUUGUUGCUUUGGCAGGCCGCCUCCGGGCGUUGGCUUCGGCUGACAGCGCCUGCCAGAGGACCCAAACUCGUUUGUUUAGUGAUGCCUGAGUACUAUAUAAUAGUUAAAACUUUCAACAACGGAUCUCUUGGUUCUG
rnacentral:misc_RNA from 1 species